rnacentral:snRNA from 1 species
UUACUCUGGUUUCUCUUCAUAACGAACAAGUCUUUCGCCUUUUACUAAAGACUUCCGUGGAGAGUGACUCCAACGAGUUUAGCCUAUUUUUGGCAGGCUUUGCUCUCUGGCAGAGCCG